AAUCAACGCUGGCGGCGCGCUUAACACAUGCAAGUCGCACGAGAAAGGGAGCAAUCCUAAGUAAAGUGGCGUACGGGUGAGUAACACGUGGAUCAUCUACCUUUUAGUGGGGAAUACCUCCUGGAAACGGGAGACAAUACCGCAUAAGCUCGUGAGAGGAAAGCCGAAAGGCGCUGAAAGAGGAGUCCGCGGCUGAUUAGCUAGAUGGCGGGGUAACGGCCCACCAUGGCGAAGAUCGGUAGCCGGCCUGAGAGGGCACACGGCCACACUGGCACUGAAACACGGGCCAGACUCCUACGGGAGGCAGCAGUGGGGAAUCUUGCACAAUGGGGGAAACCCUGAUGCAGCGACGCCGCGUGAGCGAUGAAGCCCUUCGGGGUGUAAAGCUCUUUCGACGGGAACGAUAAUGACGGUACCCGAAGAAGAAGCUGCGGCUAACUACGUGCCAGCAGCCGCGGUAAUACGUAGGCAGCAAGCGUUGUUCGGAAUUACUGGGCGUAAAGAGUGCGUAGGCGGUGUUCUAAGUCUGUUGUGAAAUCUCCUGGCUCAACUGGGAGGGUGCGGCGGAGACUGGAA
rnacentral:rRNA from 1 species